GACGAACGCUGGCGGCGUGCUUAACACAUGCAAGUCGAACGGAAAGGCCCUGCUUUUGUGGGGUGCUCGAGUGGCGAACGGGUGAGUAACACGUGAGUAACCUGCCCUUGACUUUGGGAUAACUUCAGGAAACUGGGGCUAAUACCGGAUAGGAGCUCCUGCUGCAUGGGGGGGGUUGGAAAGUUUCGGCGGUUGGGGCUGGACUCGCGGCUUAUCAGCUUGUUGGUGGGGUAGUGGCUUACCAAGGCUUUGACGGGUAGCCGGCCUGGGAGGGUGACCGGCCACAUUGGGGCUGAGAUACGGCCCAGACUCCUACGGGAGGCAGCAGUGGGGAAUAUUGCACAAUGGGCGGAAGCCUGAUGCAGCAACGCCGCGUGCGGGAUGACGGCCUUCGGGUUGUAAACCGCUUUCGCCUGUGACGAAGCGUGAGUGACGGUAAUGGGUAAAGAAGCACCGGCUAACUACGUG
rnacentral:rRNA from 1 species